rnacentral:rRNA from 1 species
UGGGGAAUAUUGCACAAUGGGCGCAAGCCUGAUGCAGCCAUGCCGCGUGUAUGAAGAAGGCCUUCGGGUUGUAAAGUACUUUCAGCGGGGAGGAAGGGAGUAAAGUUAAUACCUUUGCUCAUUGACGUUACCCGCAGAAGAAGCACCGGCUAACUCCGUGCCAGCAGCCGCGGUAAUACGGAGGGUGCAAGCGUUAAUCGGAAUUACUGGGCGUAAAGCGCACGCAGGCGGUUUGUUAAGUCAGAUGUGAAAUCCCCGGGCUCAACCUGGGAACUGCAUCUGAUACUGGCAAGCUUGAGUCUCGUAGGGGGGGGUAUACUUCCAGGUGUAUCGGUGAACUGCGUAGAGAUCUGGAGGAAUACCGGUGGCGAAGGCGGCCCCCUGGACGAAGACUGACGCUCAGGUGCGAAAGCGUGGGGAGCAAACAGG